rnacentral:rRNA from 2 species
AAGUCGAGCGANNCGAUGGGAGCUUGCUCCCUGAGAUUAGCGGCGGAUGGGUGAGUAACACGUGGGCAACCUGCCUAUAAGACUGGGAUAACUUCGGGAAACCGGAGCUAAUACCGGAUACGUUCUUUUCUCGCAUGAGAGAAGAUGGAAAGACGGUUUACGCUGUCACUUAUAGAUGGGCCCGCGGCGCAUUAGCUAGUUGGUGAGGUAAUGGCUCACCAAGGCGACGAUGCGUAGCCGACCUGAGAGGGUGAUCGGCCACACUGGGACUGAGACACGGCCCAGACUCCUACGGGAGGCAGCAGUAGGGAAUCUUCCGCAAUGGACGAAAGUCUGACGGAGCAACGCCGCGUGAACGAAGAAGGCCUUCGGGUCGUAAAGUUCUGUUGUUAGGGAAGAACAAGUACCAGAGUAACUGCUGGUACCUUGACGGUACCUAACCAGAAAGCCACGGCUAACUA